AUCCUACUCCCUCCGUUCGGAAUUAUUCGUCCAAAAAAUAAAUGUAUCUAUGUAUUUUAGUUAUAGAUACAUUCAUUUUUAUCCAUUUUUAUGACAAGUAAUUCCGAACGGAGGAAGUACUAC
rfam:Triticum aestivum genome assembly, contig: Triticum_aestivum_CS42_TGACv1_scaffold_221368_3B